AGGAUGAACGCUGGCGGCGUGCCUAAUACAUGCAAGUCGAACGCACAGCGAAAGGUGCUUGCACCUUUCAAGUGAGUGGCGAACGGGUGAGUAACACGUGGACAACCUGCCUCAAGGCUGGGGAUAACAUUUGGAAACAGAUGCUAAUACCGAAUAAAACUUAGUGUCGCAUGACACAAAGUUAAAAGGCGCUUCGGCGUCACCUAGAGAUGGAUCCGCGGUGCAUUAGUUAGUUGGUGGGGUAAAGGCCUACCAAGACAAUGAUGCAUAGCCGAGUUGAGAGACUGAUCGGCCACAUUGGGACUGAGACACGGCCCAAACUCCUACGGGAGGCUGCAGUAGGGAAUCUUCCACAAUGGGCGAAAGCCUGAUGGAGCAACGCCGCGUGUGUGAUGAAGGCUUUCGGGUCGUAAAGCACUGUUGUAUGGGAAGAACAGCUAGAAUAGGAAAUGAUUUUAGUUUGACGGUACCAUACCAGAAAGGGACGGCUAAAUACGUGCCAGCAGCCGCGGUAAUACGUAUGUCCCGAGCGUUAUCCGGAUUUAUUGGGCGUAAAGCGAGCGCAGACGGUUUAUUAAGUCUGAUGUGAAAGCCCGGAGCUCAACUCCGGAAUGGCAUUGGAAACUGGUUAACUUGAGUGCAGUAGAGGUAAGUGGAACUCCAUGUGUAGCGGUGGAAUGCGUAGAUAUAUGGAAGAACACCCAGUGGCGAAGGCGGCUUANCUGGACUGCAANCUGACCG
rnacentral:rRNA from 1 species